ensembl:lncRNA novel transcript
AAUUUGUAGAACUAAAACUGCAAACAUCCAGAAUCUUGAUGGUGUGCCAAGCCAAAUGUCAACUGGAACUCAACCAAAAACUAAACCUUUACUGAUCACAUGUUUCCUCUGUCUUGAAUGGAUAGCAGCAUCGACUGUUGCAAUAAAUUCUCCACUCCGCAGACCUGGGCAGCCCACACCUGUGCCAGAAAUUAUGCACCAGAUGGCAACUGAAAAUGACUGGAUAUCUAUGAGAAGAGGAUAUUUAGAGAAAAUACACAUUUACAAGUAAAGCAAGAUUUUUAAAUCAACAAUUCCUGUACUGAAAUGUUACAUUUGUUAAAUAAAUAAAUAUAUCUUGGACUGCAGAAAUACA